rnacentral:rRNA from 1 species
AGCAGCCGCGGUAAUUCCAGCUCCAAUAGCGUAUAUUAAAGUUGUUGCAGUUAAAAAGCUCGUAGUUGAAUUUCGGGGUCAGUAGGUCGGUCGUGCCACUGGUAUGAACUGGUCUCACUGAUUCCUCCCUCUUGUAGAACCGUGAUGCCAUUAAUUUGGUGUUGCGGGGAAACAGGACUGUUACUUUGAAAAAAUUAGAGUGUUUAAAGCAAGCUAACGCUUGAAUACAUUAGCAUGGAAUAAUGAAAUAGGACGUCUGUCUUAUUUUGUUGGUUUCUAGGAUGGACGUAAUGAUUAAUAGGGGAUAGUUGGGGGCAUUAGUAUUCAAUUGUCAGAGGUGAAAUUCUUGGAUUUAUUGAAGCUAACUACUGCGAAAGCAUUUGCCAAGGAUGUUUUCAUUAAUCAAGAACGAAGUUAGGGAUCGAAGACGAUCAGAUACCGUCGUAGUCUUAACCAUAAACUAUGACCGACUAGGGAUCGGAUGAUGUUAAUUUUUAUGUACUCAUUCGGCGUCCUUACG